CUUUCCUGGCAAUGGGCAAAAAGACACCUGGUUGGUGGUGUUUUUCUAUUAGUCAGGGACAAAGAGGAUGGCAGUCCUUUCUUCAUCCUAGCUUGAUGCCUGGCUUUGUAUCUUAAUCUAUCUUAUGCUUAAGACUCAUAA